rnacentral:rRNA from 1 species
GCCGCGUGAGGGAUGACGGCCUUCGGGUUGUAAACCUCUUUCAGCAGGGACGAAGCGAGAGUGACGGUACCUGCAGAAGAAGGACCGGCCAACUACGUGCCAGCAGCCGCGGUAAUACGUAGGGUCCGAGCGUUGUCCGGAAUUAUUGGGCGUAAAGGGCUCGUAGGCGGUUUGUUACGUCGGGAGUGAAAACUCAGGGCUCAACCCUGAGCGUGCUUUCGAUACGGGCAGACUAGAGGUAUUCAGGGGAGAACGGAAUUCCUGGUGUAGCGGUGGAAUGCGCAGAUAUCAGGAGGAACACCGGUGGCGAAGGCGGUUCUCUGGGAAUUACCUGACGCUGAGGAGCGAAAGCAUGGGGAGCGAACAGGAUUAGAUACCCUGGUAGUCCAUGCCGUAAACGUUGGGCGCUAGGUGUGGGGACCUUCCACGGUUUCCGUGCCGCAGCUAACGCAUUAAGCGCCCCGCCUGGGGGAGUACGGCCGCAAGGCUAAAACUCAAAGGAAUU